UCGCAUCAGGGUUCUUGGGAGUUUGCUCGCAGGAAUCGGCAGACUUGCGCCGUCCUACAGGUGAGUUGAAUCCCACCGGGUUCUUGAUGACGUCGGUUUUGCUUUAAACCAAGAAAAAUAGUCGGGUUCUUGGAAAAUUUGGUCUCCGAACCCUUUUGUUUUUUAUGAUUUGUUCCUUUUUGGUUUUUAAUUUUGAAUUUAUUCUCUCACGGAAGAAGCACGAGAGGUCUGAGUCUUUAGGUUAGCUGCAAGAUAGAGGGACUCGCAUCAGGUUCUUGGGAGUUUGCUCGCCGGGAUCGGUAGACUUUCGCCCCCCUACAGGUGAGUUAUGAAUCCGGGUUCUUGAUGAUUGUGAUGAAAUUCGUAGGUUUUGGUUUAAACCAAGAAUAAUAAUAGGGUUCUUAGAAAAUUGGAUCCGAGUCCUUUUGUUUUUAUUUUUUAUGAUUUGUUCUUUUUUGGUUUUUAAUUUUUAAUUUUUAAUUUAUUCUCUCCACGGGUCUGAUUCUUUGUUUUGGGGAAUUAGUUUUUGAUGAUGAUUCUUUCAUGGUUAUUGUAGAUCUGUUUUUUUUUAGUCCAUUCGUUUGUUAAUGUGCUGUUUAGUUGUGCAGAAAUUGUAAUUAAAAAAACAGAUAGUUUUUUAAUCUUUUUAAGUCAAAUAAAACUACCUGUAAGAAAGUUCUAGGUUUUGAAUUUUUGAAGUUUCAUCGUGUUCUUUGGUAUUUUGAUUUACCAUGAACUUUUUUUACCUAUCAAAAAAAAAAAAAAAAAGGCUGGGCUAGAAAUUCAUAGACAUCAACUUGCUCAAAUCCAUGAUAGAAAACCCUAUCAAAGCUAAGGUAAAAAUCCUCUCCCUUCUCAUCCUACCAUUCAUCAAUUCAAUUAUUAUAAUGAUUUUUUUCAUGAAUAAAUGAACAGAAACAGAUAAGUAGCAAUUUUUAGUGAAAGAUAACCUUGAAAAUGGAAGUUUCUGAAUCUAGGCUUUGGACAAAAACUGUAUCACCAUGAUCUCUUCUCUCUUUUGAACUUAAAGGUCUAAAUCAUGCAUAGACUGUUAUGUGCGACAUAUUUUUAUGGUGCCAAAAACCUUUAUCUUCCAAGAAUUAGUGCAUAACUAUCAUGAAAUUCAGCAAAAUAGAGUAUGACUUAAUCCACCUGAAAAUUCUAGAACUAGAGCUUUGUUUUGUCAUUGAGGCAUUUUCUAAUUCAUUACUGAAAAUUUUACAUUAUUAUUUAUUAGCACAGUAUCAACUAUCACACAAACUUGUAUUUGUCACUUAGAAGGUUUGAAACCUCUAAUUGGUGAUACACUCCUUGUUGCAGGGACACUUUUCUUUGCCAUGAGCAAUGUUGGUGAGGUGGGUAAAUAUCAAUACACUUGAAUAUGAUUGUCACAUCAUUUGGGGGCUUUUGACUCUGGAAGAUUUCUGAUUAAUGUCAUUAAAUUUUUUCUUUUUCUUUUGAAACAAUAUGCCCCUUGAAGACUUGCUUUGAAUCAAUAAGAUUUUAACUUGUUUAGCAUUGUCUAUUGUUGUCUUAUUAUAUUAGAGAGAAGAAAAAAUUACACCUUGAUUCCCUUAUUCUCCUUUUCAGUUCUAUCUAGUCAACAACCUAAACAAUUUAUCAUCUUUGAAAACUUGAAGAUCUUCUACUUCUAGCUUUAUCUUGCAGAAGGACAAUGAUUCCUGAUCUAUCUGAAUGAGGUUUAACACCAAGAACCAAAUUAGGCCUUGGACAACUCAGAUGGAAAUUAAAUCUUGUCUGCAUCACUGCUCCAUCUCCAAAUUGACUUGAGCUUUUCUUAUUUACUGACAUUCUAUUUUUGUACAGAUUUAUAUACACUGGAUCUGUAGAAAUUAUAUUGGAUAUUGCACAAGAUCUCCUCAUAGCUACUGAUCAGUAUCUGUUGCAGGGAUAAAGCGUCCCUGUGAGUGUACCAUUGCCCAUGUGAGUUAAGGAGCUCGAUUUUUUG
rnacentral:lncRNA from 1 species